UCUCUUUCUCUCUUUUCCUCUCUCUUUCUCUCUCUCUAUCCCUUCCCUUUCUCCUUCGCUCUCUCCUCCUAAGCUAGGAGACCCACCUGAAACACACACAUACACACACUCUUCCAACAAGGUAGUCACCUGGCAGCAUCACUCAUGACAAGUCUCCCAGAGUUGCCCUGAUAGGCCAGCAGACAAGGCCUCCG